AUGUCUGGCCACGCUUCCUGCAGGCCUGCUGGUGCCGUGUGCUAUCUUCCACGGUCACCGGCCAUCGAGGCGGCCGAAGCUGCGCUGCAGCAGUGCCCGCUCAUCGUUAUCGUGGGCGGCACCCGCUCUGGCAUUUCCUGUGAUGAUGUUGCGGCCUUGCUUCGCGAGAAGUGUCCUAUGCCUUCCCACACGUUCCCCCUCCAUCGCCGCCGCCCCGACGAGUUCCUGCUUCACUUCCAGGACGCCGCUGAUCGGGCGCGCGUGGCCGCGGCCACGUUUUGUUUCCGGCUCUUCCGCCUGCUAGUCCAUCCAUGGAGUGACUCCGCCGGGGCUGAGCCGGUCACGUCGCGGUUCCUCUAG
rnacentral:rRNA from 1 species